GAAUGUUAAUGGGUUAUGGCGGGCCCUUUUCUGUGGGCCUCUCAUGGUGUGCUCAUGCCAGAGUAAAUUGCAGCCUUGAACCAUUUCCCAGCCGUCUUACGUGUGGGCUGUGAGCGCGGAAGGGGGCUGUACAGUG